AAUAUUGCGCAAUGGAGGGAACUCUGACGCAGCGACGCCGCGUGAGCGAUGAAGGUCUUCGGAUCGUAAAGCUCUGUCCUUGGGGAAGAAGGUCUUCGGACUUGCCGGUACCUAAGGCGGAAGCCCUGGCUAACUACGUGCCAGCAGCCGCGGUUAGACGUAGGGGGCAAGCGUUGUCUGGUAUUAGUGGGCGUAAAGGGUGCGUAGGCGGUCUUUUGAGUGAGGUGUGAGAGCCCACGGGUAAACCGUGGGACUGCAUUUGACACUGGGGGGCUUGAGUAUCGGAGAGGGUAGUGGAAUUCCCAGUGUAGCGGUGGAAUGCGUAGAUAUUGGGAGAAACACCAGUGGCGAAGGCGACUACCUGGACGAAAACUGACGCUGAGGCACGAGAGCGAGGGGAGAAAACA
rnacentral:rRNA from 1 species